UUCGACACACUAUCAUUAACUGAAUCCAUAGGUUAAUGAGGCGAACCGGGGGAACUGAAACAUCUAAGUACCCCGAGGAAAAGAAAUCAACCGAGAUUCCCCCAGUAGCGGCGAGCGAACGGGGAGGAGCCCAGAGCCUGAAUCAGUGUGUGUGUUAGUGGAAGCGUCUGGAAAGGCGCGCGAUACAGGGUGACAGCCCCGUACACAAAAAUGCACAUAUUGUGAGCUCGAUGAGUAGGGCGGGACACGUGGUAUCCUGUCUGAAUAUGGGGGGACCAUCCUCCAAGGCUAAAUACUCCUGACUGACCGAUAGUGAACCAGUACCGUGAGGGAAAGGCGAAAAGAACCCCGGCGAGGGGAGUGAAAAAGAACCUGAAACCGUGUACGUACAAGCAGUGGGAGCCUCUUAAUGGGGUGACUGCGUACCUUUUGUAUAAUGGGUCAGCGACUUAUAUUCUGUAGCAAGGUUAACCGAAUAGGGGAGCCGAAGGGAAACCGAGUCUUAACUGGGCGUUAAGUUGCAGGGUAUAGACCCGAAACCCGGUGAUCUAGCCAUGGGCAGGUUGAAGGUUGGGUAACACUAACUGGAGGACCGAACCGACUAAUGUUGAAAAAUUAGCGGAUGACUUGUGGCUGGGGGUGAAAGGCCAAUCAAACCGGGAGAUAGCUGGUUCUCCCCGAAAGCUAUUUAGGUAGCGCCUCGUGAAUUCAUCUCCGGGGGUAGAGCACUGUUUCGGCAAGGGGGUCAUCCCGACUUACCAACCCGAUGCAAACUGCGAAUACCGGAGAAUGUUAUCACGGGAGACACACGGCGGGUGCUAACGUCCGUCGUGAAGAGGGAAACAACCCAGACCGCCAGCUAAGGUCCCAAAGUCAUGGUUAAGUGGGAAACGAUGUGGGAAGGCCCAGACAGCCAGGAUGUUGGCUUAGAAGCAGCCAUCAUUUAAAGAAAGCGUAAUAGCUCACUGGUCGAGUCGGCCUGCGCGGAAGAUGUAACGGGGCUAAACCAUGCACCGAAGCUGCGGCAGCGACACUAUGUGUUGUUGGGUAGGGGAGCGUUCUGUAAGCCUGUGAAGGUGGCCUGUGAGGGUUGCUGGAGGUAUCAGAAGUGCGAAUGCUGACAUAAGUAACGAUAAAGCGGGUGAAAAGCCCGCUCGCCGGAAGACCAAGGGUUCCUGUCCAACGUUAAUCGGGGCAGGGUGAGUCGACCCCUAAGGCGAGGCCGAAAGGCGUAGUCGAUGGGAAACAGGUUAAUAUUCCUGUACUUGGUGUUACUGCGAAGGGGGGACGGAGAAGGCUAUGUUGGCCGGGCGACGGUUGUCCCGGUUUAAGCGUGUAGGCUGGUUUUCCAGGCAAAUCCGGAAAAUCAAGGCUGAGGCGUGAUGACGAGGCACUACGGUGCUGAAGCGACAAAUGCCCUGCUUCCAGGAAAAGCCUCUAAGCAUCAGGUAACAUCAAAUCGUACCCCAAACCGACACAGGUGGUCAGGUAGAGAAUACCAAGGCGCUUGAGAGAACUCGGGUGAAGGAACUAGGCAAAAUGGUGCCGUAACUUCGGGAGAAGGCACGCUGAUAUGUAGGUGAAGCGACUUGCUCGUGGAGCUGAAAUCAGUCGAAGAUACCAGCUGGCUGCAACUGUUUAUUAAAAACACAGCACUGUGCAAACACGAAAGUGGACGUAUACGGUGUGACGCCUGCCCGGUGCCGGAAGGUUAAUUGAUGGGGUUAGCGGUAACGCGAAGCUCUUGAUCGAAGCCCCGGUAAACGGCGGCCGUAACUAUAACGGUCCUAAGGUAGCGAAAUUCCUUGUCGGGUAAGUUCCGACCUGCACGAAUGGCGUAAUGAUGGCCAGGCUGUCUCCACCCGAGACUCAGUGAAAUUGAACUCGCUGUGAAGAUGCAGUGUACCCGCGGCAAGACGGAAAGACCCCGUGAACCUUUACUAUAGCUUGACACUGAACAUUGAGCCUUGAUGUGUAGGAUAGGUGGGAGGCUUUGAAGUGUGGACGCCAGUCUGCAUGGAGCCGACCUUGAAAUACCACCCUUUAAUGUUUGAUGUUCUAACGUGGGCCCCUUACCGGGGUUGCGGACAGUGUCUGGUGGGUAGUUUGACUGGGGCGGUCUCCUCCUAAAGAGUAACGGAGGAGCACGAAGGUUGGCUAAUCCUGGUCGGACAUCAGGAGGUUAGUGCAAUGGCAUAAGCCAGCUUGACUGCGAGCGUGACGGCGCGAGCAGGUGCGAAAGCAGGUCAUAGUGAUCCGGUGGUUCUGAAUGGAAGGGCCAUCGCUCAACGGAUAAAAGGUACUCCGGGGAUAACAGGCUGAUACCGCCCAAGAGUUCAUAUCGACGGCGGUGUUUGGCACCUCGAUGUCGGCUCAUCACAUCCUGGGGCUGAAGUAGGUCCCAAGGGUAUGGCUGUUCGCCAUUUAAAGUGGUACGCGAGCUGGGUUUAGAACGUCGUGAGACAGUUCGGUCCCUAUCUGCCGUGGGCGCUGGAGAACUGAGGGGGGCUGCUCCUAGUACGAGAGGACCGGAGUGGACGCAUCACUGGUGUUCGGGUUGUCAUGCCAAUGGCACUGCCCGGUAGCUAAAUGCGGAAGAGAUAAGUGCUGAAAGCAUCUAAGCACGAAACUUGCCCCGAGAUGAGUUCUCCCUGACUCCUUGAGAGUCCUGAAGGAACGUUGAAGACGACGACGUUGAUAGGCCGGGUGUGUAAGCGCAGCGAUGCGUUGAGCUAACCGGUACUAAUGAACCGUGAGGCUUAACCUU
rnacentral:rRNA from 1 species